rnacentral:pre_miRNA from 2 species
UUCUCUGGAAGAGAGCUCUCUUCAGUCCACUCUGAAAUGGCCGUAGGGUUUCAUUAGCUGCCGACUCAUCCAUUCACUUGCCAAGACCCAUCGACGGGCAAUGUCUUGGCAGCUGAGUGGAUGGCGCGGGAGCUAAAAUCAAGCUCUACGCUGUUUGUGGUUGGACUGAAGGGUGCUCCCUUGCUCGCUUGU